rnacentral:rRNA from 1 species
GAUGAACGCUGGCGGCGUGCCUAAUACAUGCAAGUCGAGCGAACAGACGAGGAGCUUGCUCCUCUGACGUUAGCGGCGGACGGGUGAGUAACACGUGGAUAACCUACCUAUAAGACUGGGAUAACUUCGGGAAACCGGAGCUAAUACCGGAUAACAUGUUGAACCGCAUGGUUCAACAGUGAAAGACGGUCUUGCCGUCACUUAUAGAUGGAUCCGCGCCGCAUUAGCUAGUUGGUAAGGUAACGGCUUACCAAGGCAACGAUGCGUAGCCGACCUGAGAGGGUGAUCGGCCACACUGGAACUGAGACACGGUCCAGACUCCUACGGGAGGCAGCAGUAGGGAAUCUUCCGCAAUGGGCGAAAGCCUGACGGAGCAACGCCGCGUGAGUGAAGAAGGUCUUCGGAUCGUAAAACUCUGUUAUUAGGGAAGAACAAAUGUGUAAGUAACUAUGCACGUCUUGACGGUACCUAAUCAGAAAGCCACGGCUAACUACGUG